UACGUAGGGUGCAAGCGUUGUCCGGAAUUAUUGGGCGUAAAGAGCUCGUAGGCGGUCUGUCGCGUCUGCUGUGAAAACUCGGGGCUCAACCCCGGGCCUGCAGUGGGUACGGGCAGACUAGAGUGCGGUAGGGGAGAGUGGAAUUCCUGGUGUAGCGGUGAAAUGCGCAGAUAUCAGGAGGAACACCGGUGGUGAAAACGGCUUUCUGGACCAUAACUGACGCUGAGACACGAAAGCGUGGGUAGCAAACAGG
rnacentral:rRNA from 1 species